rnacentral:rRNA from 1 species
GACGAACGCUGGCGGCGUGCCUAAUACAUGCAAGUCGAGCGAAGUUUUUCUGGUUCUUGCACUAGAAAAACUUAGCGGCGAACGGGUGAGUAACACGUAAAGAACCUGCCUCAUAGACUGGGACAACUAUUGGAAACGAUAGCUAAUACCGGAUAACAGUAUUUCUCGCAUGAGAGAUAUUUAAAAGUUGGUUAUGCUAACACUAUGAGAUGGCUUUGCGGUGCAUUAGCUAGUUGGUGGGGUAAAGGCCCACCAAGGCGACGAUGCAUAGCCGACCUGAGAGGGUGAUAGGCCACACUAGAACUGAGACACGGCCCAGACUCCUACGGGAGGCAGCAGUAGUGAAUCUUACGCAAUGGGCGAAAGCAUGACGGAGCAACGCCGCGUGAGUGAAGAAGGAUUUCGGUUAGUAAAGAUCUGUUGUUAGGGAAGAAUGGAUAUGUAGUAACAAGACAUGUAAGAGACGGUACCUAACCAGAAAGCCACGGCUAACUAUGUG